AUUCCUUCGGCUCCAGCGACACAUCCAGUGGAGAAUACUACGUCGCGAAGUUUGCCUUCGUCGCCACCAUCGACCAGGCGCUGAGCUUCAACCGCGGAGACACCAUCUUGGUCCACGACGUGACAAGCGGCACUGGGUGGUGGAGAGCGACACUCAAGGGACGCACCGGUCUCGUGCCCAGGGAGUACCUCAAGAAAAAGGAACAGUGAUCGAAAUUUCCAUUCUAAAAGACAGUGUCUCUCUCGUAUAUUUACAUUAAGUUGGUGUUAAGAUAUAAUUGUUAGAGAGAUAACUGGCUGUUUUGUUAUGUCACUGUCACAGCUGGUCUGGUAUAUUCACACAGUACAAAACAGAAAAUGAUAGCAAGAUGUUCGUAUGCAGUUCAUAGAGAAAUGUGAAAGUGUAUGUUGUCAGUUAGACACCAUGUGAGAAGUGUGAAAGGAUUUCUGUAUUGAGUAUCAUUUGCUCUCUCAGUAAGCUAAGUUCCAUGGUGCCUUACAGAUACUGUAUCUAAAAGCUGAAAAAGUUCUGGUAACAAGGUGCAGUGCAGAGAAUGUCAUGUACAUAGAUGUGGUGAGACUGUGCAUGUGUCUUUUAAUUAUUAUGCAUACAUCUAUUAUCUCAUGCUGUGCUUUUCUACAAUGAAUAAUAUUUAUUCAGGCAUUCCAAAGAACUAAAUACUCGUAGAUUACAGCUUGCUGGGAAAAAUGGAGUAAUGAAACUUUUAUAAAUUUUUGUUAACUAGUUUCAUUACGAAAGUUAAUUCCGAUUGGUGUCAUACAUUCUAAAGAAGAACACAUACAAGCUGAAAAACACACACACAAAACCUGCCUUUGGAGAUGUUGGUAUAGCAAUAUAGCAGUGACAUUUUUCAAAGCAGUGAGGAAGACAACCAAAACAAGGGAUUCGUGUAAAUACCUGCAGACCUUCAACAUGCAAAGAAGCUGAAAGUGUCCGAUUUUCUUCCUAGUCAGAGGAUAUUCCUGUUCUCUCUUUCCUCGUCUCACAAUAUUCAAUGCAUGCCCGUCACAAUAAGUAAAAUGUCCACUGUGUAUCUCUUUGUAUGUGUAUCCCUAUUGUAUUAUAUACCAAAGAAUCUUCAGCACAUACUAGAUUCCUGAAAUGCCGAAUCUUGUUAGAAAAAUCUUGUGAGACUAUCGAGAAAAAAAUAUAUGAUAUGGAUUUGAAUACUUUACCAAUUUUCUUUUUUUUCAUGAGUGAUGUCGAUACAUAAUGUAUAUGGUGCUUGUAGUUGUCAAGGUUACAUGCUACAUAUGUUUCCGAGAUGAAACACAAUAAUUAGGAUAAUUAAUGUAUGGUAAUAUCGAUGAAUUCUGACAUACAUAAUUUUGUCAACAAUUUAUGUAUUAGAUUUUGUAAUUUUGUCUAGAUAAGCUUGUAUAUUUUAUUAAGUAGACCGAUAUUAUUUGUAAAUCCUUUUCAAUAGUGAACUUGUUAUUUUUAUGCAUUUUGUCACAUUGCUAUGAGUCUCAACUAGUCUGCAAUGCCAAAUAUAUUAAUGUACGAUAUGAUGCAAUAGGCUGAUUGAAUUAUUGGUAUUAUCUGUAGUUAAAUCAUGCCAAAAACUCAUUAUGUACUGGAUACACUGCAAUAAAAGAAUCUAUGAA